rnacentral:rRNA from 1 species
AGAACGAACGCUGGCGGCGUGGAUAAGACAUGCAAGUCGAACGAGCUUAGUUUUGUAGCAAUACAGAGCUGAGCUAGUGGCGAACGGGUGCGUAACACGUGAGCAAUCUGCCUUAAAGUGGGGGAUAGCUCGCCGAAAGGCGAAUUAAUACCGCAUGUGGUUGUAAAACCAAAGCCGGGGCAACCUGGCGCUUUUAGAGGAGCUCGCGGCCUAUCAGCUUGUUGGUGAGGUAACGGCUCACCAAGGCUUCGACGGGUAGCUGGUCUGAGAGGACGACCAGCCACACUGGAACUGAGACACGGUCCAGACACCUACGGGUGGCAGCAGUCGAGAAUUUUUCUCAAUGGGGGAAACCCUGAAGGAGCGACGCCGCGUGGAGGAUGAAUGCUUUCGGGUUGUAAACUCCUGUCAUUUGGGAACAAAGCCUUACGUUAACUGCGUGGAGGUUUGAUAGUACCAGAAGAGGAAGAGACGGCUAACUCUGUGCCAGCAGCCGCGGUAAUC